UACGAGUGCCCCAAGCGUUAUCCGGAAUCAUUGGGCGUAAAGGGUGUGUAGGUGGUCUUGUUAGUCUUCUGUCAAAUUCUUCGGCUUAACCGGGGGUCCGCAGGGGAAACGGCAAGACUAGAGGAUGUGAGAGGUGAAUGGAACUCAUGGUGUAGGGGUGAAAUCCGUUGAUAUCAUGGGGAACACCAAAAGCGAAGGCAAUUCACUGGCACACUCCUGACACUCAAACACGAAAGCGUGGGUAGCGAAUGGG
rnacentral:rRNA from 1 species